rnacentral:ncRNA from 1 species
UUAUAAGUGUUGAAGGAGAAGAGUAUAUAGAUAAUUAACUUAAAGAGAUCUAGGGAUGGUGGAAGCCUAGAAGUUAGUGCUAUAGAAGGAAGCUCUGGAGCUAGGGACUGAAAACUAAUUUGUAGAGUAAGUCUUUGGGAUUCUCCCCUUAAAGAGAAAUUAAGAGGGUUAAAGGUAGUAUAUCUUUAAUCAAUUUAGGUGGUAACGCGGAAGUAGCCUUUCGUCCUAAUU